GAUGAACGCUGGCGGCGUGCCUAAUAUAUGCGAGUCGAGCGAACAGAUGAGGAGCUUGCUCCUCUGACGUUAGCGGCGGACGGGUGAGUAACACGUGGAUAACCUACCUAUAAGACUGGGAUAACUUCGGGAAACCGGAGCUAAUACCGGAUAAUAUAUUGAACCGCAUGGUUCAAUAGUGAAAGACGGUUUUGCUGUCACUUAUAGAUGGAUCCGCGCCGCAUUAGCUAGUUGGUAAGGUAACGGCUUACCAAGGCAACGAUGCGUAGCCGACCUGAGAGGGUGAUCGGCCACACUGGAACUGAGACACGGUCCAGACUCCUACGGGAGGCAGCAGUAGGGAAUCUUCCGCAAUGGGCGAAAGCCUGACGGAGCAACGCCGCGUGAGUGAUGAAGGUCUUCGGAUCGUAAAACUCUGUUAUUAGGGAAGAACAAAUGUGUAAGUAACUAUGCACGUCUUGACGGUACCUAAUCAGAAAGCCACGGCUAACUACGUG
rnacentral:rRNA from 1 species